CUCCUCUGCUCAGCUGCAUUUACACAACAGAUUUGAAAUUCUUACAUCAUUAACAUACAAUCAGGAAACACAUCUUGUGGAGGACCACAGUUUCUUAGAUACCACUCAGUGGACCAUCCUGGAUCAAUGCGCAGGGGAUAGCCCUGACAGGGACAGUGCAUCACCACAGUCACACUUAUGUAAUCAUGCAAAUGCUCCAUCCCCAAUCAUAGACCAGGAGCAACAGGAACAUCCUUGGGAGAGUAAUGGGCUCUCGGAUGUAUCUCAAUGGAUUGUCAUUGAUGAAUGCACUGGGGAUGUUGAGGAGGAGGACAACACUUUACACCUACAUGAUUCACUUCAACAGGAACACUCUUCAGGGGACAUACACACUGUCUUGCACAAAAGGGACCCUGUCAAUCCUCAAAGGAAACAGGUCUUGGUAGUAGGUGACUCCCUCCUUAGAGGAACGGAAGCCAUCAUUUCCAGACCGGAUGGGAUGGCUCGAGAAACAUGCUGCCUCCCGGGGGCAAAAAUACACCAUAUCACUCAGAGGCUCAGCAGGCUCCUAAAGCCCCAUCACCCUCCCCACCUUAUGUUGAUUCAUGUAGGUACCAAUGACACCGCUAGGCAUACUUUUCAAAAGAUCACAAAUGAUUUUCGAGCUCUGGGAACAAAGCUAAAACUGUAUAAUGUACAUGUGAUCUUUUCAUCCCUCCUCCCCGUUGUAGGACAUGGCUCUACAAGGGCCGGAAAAAUAGUACAGGUCAAUAACUGGCUCAGAAAAUGGUGUCAAGAGGAGCAUUUUGGCUUCCUUGACCAUGGUCUACUCUUCCAAGAGGAUGGACUACUGGCAAGCGAUGGGGUGCAUCUCACACAAGUAGGAAAACAUCUUUUUGCACACAGACUCACAAACCUCAUCAGGCGCACUUUAAACUAAAUCCACUGGGGGAGGGGAACAACAGCCUGGCGAACACUAUAUUACCCACGACCACAGGGAACCGCCGUAAGGCUAAACGGAGGGCUGCACAAACACAGCAAGGACCAAGUACAGAGAGCACAAUAAUCCCAAAUAAACAGUUCGAGGGGAGGUCACAGGGGCUUACAUGUCUUUACACUAAUGCUCAGAGCAUGGGAAAUAAGCAAGACGAACUCCAACUCCUAGCACAGCACCACACAUACGAUGUCAUAGGCAUCACUGAAACCUGGUGGGAUGACUCCCAUCACUGGAAUUUAACCAUUGAGGGCUAUAACCUCUUUCACAUAAAUAGAACAAAGGGGAGAGGAGGGGGAGUAGCUUUAUAUGUCAAAAACAGUUACGUUGCAGAAGAAAUGCAAGACUGUAAUCCGGGAAACCAGCUUGAAAGCAUCUGGAUAAGAAUCAAGGGAACCGGGACUCAAAAAGAUCUUGUCGUGGGUGUCUACUACAGACCUCCGAGUCAGGAUGAAGGACUUGAUGAAGCCUUCUGUCAACAGCUGACCAAACAGGCACAAAGAAGAGAUAUAGUAGUCAUGGGCGAUUUCAAUUAUCCCGAUAUCUGCUGGAAAACAAACUCAGCCAAGAGUACAAAGUCCAACAAAUUCCUCACUUGCCUUGCAGAUAAUUUUAUGGUCCAGAAGGUAGAAGAGGCAACAAGGGGAUCAGCAACUCUUGAUCUAAUCUUAACAAAUGUGGAAGACCUGAUCAAUACAGUUGAAGUGGUUGGAUCCUUAGGGGCAAGUGACCAUGUGCUCCUGCAGUUUGCAAUACAAAGGAAUGCUGAAACUAAGACAAGUCAAACACGCAUUCUGGACUUUAAGAGAGCUGACUUCCAAAAAAUGAAGGAAUUACUGAGCGGCAUUCCAUGGACGCCGAUAUUAAAAAACAAGGGAGUUAAGGAUGGAUGGGAGUUUUUCAAAAGUGAAAUACUCAAGGCGCAAAUGCAAACAGUGCCAACAAAGAAGAAAAAUAAGACAAGUGCAAAGAAGCCAGAAUGGAUGUCCAAAGAACUUCUAACUGAGCUAAAGCUCAAAAGUGACAUGCACAAGAAGUGGAAAAGGGGAGAAAUCACCAAAGAAGAAUUCAAACGUAUAGCCAACUCCUGUAGGGAAAAGGUUCGCAAGGCUAAAGCGCAAAAUGAGCUCAGGCUUGCCAGGGACAUAAAAAACAACAAAAAAGGUUUUUUUGCUUAUGUUGGUAGAAAAAGGAAGAAAAAGGAGGCGAUAGGGCCACUGCAAGGAGUAGAUGGGGUGAUGGUGACAGGGGAUAGGGAAAAGGCAGAACUGCUUAAUGCCUUCUUUGCCUCGGUCUUCUCACAAAAAGAAAGCCAUCUUCAACCUCAGCAACAUGGAAUGGACGAAGGAUUGGGGGAAAUCCAACCCCAAAUAGGGAAACAAGUUGUCCAGGAACACCUGGCCACUCUAAACGAAUUCAAGUCCCCAGGGCCAGAUCAGCUACAUCCAAGAGUAUUGAAGGAACUAGCGGAAGUUAUUUCAGAACCACUGGCAAUCAUCUUCGAGAGUUCUUGGAGAACAGGAGAAGUCCCAGCAGAUUGGAGGAGGGCGAAUGUGGUCCCUAUCUUCAAGAAGGGAAAAAAGAACGACCCAAACAAUUACCGUCCGGUCAGCCUCACAUCAAUACCAGGCAAGAUUCUGGAAAAGAUCAUUAAGGAAGUGGUCUGCAAACACUUAGAAACAAAUGCGGUCAUUGCUAAUAGUCAACACGGAUUUACCAAAAACAAGUCAUGCCAGACUAAUCUGAUCUCUUUUUUCGAUAGAGUUACGAGUUGGGUCGAUACAGGGAAUGCCGUGGAUGUAGCAUAUCUAGAUUUCAGUAAGGCCUUCGACAAAGUCCCCCACGACCUUCUGGCAAACAAACUAGUAAAAUGUGGGCUAGACAAAACUACGGUUAGGUGGAUCUGUAAUUGGCUAAGCGAACGAACCCAAAGGGUGCUCACCAAUGCGUCGUCUUCAUCAUGGAAAGAAGUGACAAGUGGAGUGCCGCAGGGCUCCGUCCUGGGCCCGGUUCUGUUCAACAUCUUUAUUAACGACUUAGACGAAGGGUUAGAAGGCACGAUCAUCAAGUUUGCAGAUGACACCAAACUCGGAGGGAUAGCUAACACUCCAGAAGACAGGAGCAGAAUUCAAAACGAUCUUGACAGACUAGAGAGAUGGGCCGAAACUAACAAAAUGAAGUUCAACAGGGACAAAUGCAAGAUACUUCACUUCGGCAGAAAAAAUGGAAAUCAAAGAUACAGAAUGGGGGACACCUGGCUUGACAGCAGUGUGUGCGAAAAAGAUCUUGGAGUCCUCGUGGACAACAAGUUAAACAUGAGCCUACAAUGUGAUGCGGCAGCUAAAAAAGCCAAUGGGAUUUUGGCCUGCAUCAAUAGGGGAAUAACGUCUAGAUCCAGGGAAGUCAUGCUCCCCCUCUAUUCUGCCUUGGUCAGACCACACCUGGAAUACUGUGUCCAGUUUUGGGCACCGCAGAUGAAGGGAGAUGCUGACAAGCUGGAAAGCGUCCAGAGGAGGGCAACUAAAAUGAUUAAGGGUCUGGAGAACAAGCCCUAUGAGGAGAGGCUUAAAGAGCUGGGCAUGUUUAGCCUGCAGAAGAGAAGGCUGAGAGGAGACAUGAUAGCCAUGUACAAAUAUGUGAGGGGAAGUCAUAGGGAGGAGGGAGCAAGCUUAUUUUCUGCUGCCCUGCAGACUAGGACACGGAACAAUGGCUUCAAACUACAGGAAAGGAGAUUCCACCUGAACAUCAGGAAGAACUUCCUCACUGUGAGGGCUGUUCGGCAGUGGAACUCUCUCCCCCGGGCCGUGGUGGAGGCUCCUUCUUUGGAGGCUUUUAAGCAGAGGCUGGAUGGCCAUCUGUCGGGGGUGCUUUGAAUGCGAUUUCCUGCUUCUUAGCGGGGGGUUGGACUAGAUGGCCCUUGAGGUCUCUUCCAACUCUACUAUUCUAUGAUUCUAUGAUUCUAUAUUGGGAAAUAUUUAAAUGAUCAGAGUCGCAAAACAGUUCUCUAGGUUUCCUCAGCACUAAGUGGAUUUUGGCAGAGGAAUUGCUCACAAAUCACUACUACUAUCAUGGAGAGAGGGGGGGGAAACGCUCCCAUGAGACCACUGUAUUAGUGCCCAGCUUUGCACAAUUCUAUUUUCUGUGACCUCCAGUGUGAAAGGAAGGGACAUGUGUGACAAUGUGUGUAACAAAUGUGUGUGAAAGUGUGGCACUGAAAGCACUGGCUCAUAUGUGGCUAUCUUCCUUCUUUUAAAUCCUACACAAACAUACUUCUUUUGGGAGGUGACUUUAACAAACAAAAACAAAAAUCAACUUGCAUUGAAUUUCCAUAUUCAGGUAAUAUUUGUUUUUGUCACUAGAUAUUUGAUAAUAUAUGCCUCAAGUUGAGAAAGGUGGAUUAUUGCAUUGCAUUACUUGUUAUUCCUACUUCUGAUAGGUAUAGGAACUCUGAUAAACAACUGGCGUUCUCAUUAUACUUGCAUAUAAGCACAGUCUCAUGUGUGAAACACUUUGGAAACCUGCUCAAAGUUUCUGCUCUUUAAAUGAACUGAAUAGGAGGGAAACUUUUUGUGUGAUGUCUUACACACAGUGGUAUUGCUGUCACUGCAUCCUUGCCAGCUGUCACUGUGCCACUUCCUUCUUUUCUAUAUAACAUUCUGCCACCAGAGCAUAGUUAAGUGAGCCAAGGAAGAUAUAAUGGAGUCUCAGUGGAGUGCGUUUUCUUGAAAUCAUCAGCCUAACAUAUCUUCAUCAAACCUUUAUAUUCCCCUAAAAUAACAAUUCACUCACAUUAAUUUCUAGAUUUAUCUCUUUUUCAUGCAAUUGUGUCCAGUGUCCACCUAUUUUGGCUACCAGCUGCUUUCUCACUUCUUAAUCUUUUUUUUUUUUUUAAAGACCACUUUUACUUUGCGAUGAGUCCUGUGAUAUCUUACAUAAACUUAUUCUCAAGACACUUUUUAAAGCCUGUUCCAGAUGAUGGAUAGGCCAUAUAACAGACUGUGGGGAAGAUGAAUACACAGGAGAGGCUCCCGCCAUGUGUCACAUAAUGCGGAGACUUCCUUGCAAUCUUUAUUGUGUUACCUAUUCUGCUCCUGCAUAGAUCAGAACAGAUUGGAAGUGCUGAUUGUCCCAUUCUGUCAAUUCUCUUUUGUCUGUUGAUUUUAUUAAACAUUUAGAGUUACUUGUAGCUACACAGACAACUGCAUGGGCAGCAAAAAAAGAAAAGUAGGGUAGUUCACCUGAAGCAGAACCAUAUAUGUUAGCAUAUCUUGGUAGCAUGUGAUAAUGAAAAUGGAGAAACUAAUUUCUUUGAAAAGGAGGAUAGUUUUGAUUUUUGUCCUCUUGUUUUGAUUUUUGUCUUGUCGGUCCAUAUCAGGUUCACCAAGACCCUUCACUUGUCCAUCUUAAGCAUCUGUCACCCCACUACCUCCAUCCAUCACCAUUGUCUUCGUGCCACCACUAUUGAUUUAGGAUACUGUGUAUACUUUUCUAUAACUACAUGAAUAGUUAUAGGAAAGUGUAGAGGUUGGUAUUUGACUGUUUUUAGUCAACAGAAAGUAAAUCAGAGAAAUUAUGCUUUCCAAAGAGUAGGUUGUGGGGUAGUUAGCUUGCCCCAUAAUUUAAAUGAUCACUAAUUGCAGGUUUACAUAACUUAGGUGCCUGAUUUCUGGAAUAUGAGAUACUUGGUAGUUGAACAACUGAGCACUGGGAGAACAAAUAGUUUCAUAUUUUGGCUGGUGUUCAUUAUAGCUUUGUUGAAUCUGUUUGCUAUUAUUAGCUGUUUGCCUGGACUUUGGAAAAAUGUAUGUCAUGUGUAUUGAAAAUUGUUUACAAUCAGGUGUAACAGAGAGCAGGUCAUGCCAUUACCAAAAAUGUAGGCUUUGUUCAUCCAUUCACAAAUUUCUAAAGAUCAUAAUCUUUCAGGCAGUAGAGUGGUGAAGGUACAUGACCAAUCCUGCAGCAUGCCCAAGGUUUACUUCUCCAUGUGUUGGUUUUUGUCAUAUUUUUCUCUUUCAUAUACUCUGUUGAUUUUCUUCCAAUAUUUGCAUGAUCUGUAUGAACUGUGUAUUAACUUUGAAAGGGAACAGGCAAUGAGUGAAGGCCCCUGGUACUAAUAGGAAUAUAUUUUCAUAACCUGUUAAGAUUAUGAUUCCAAUAUUGGUUAAAUAUUAGUGAAGCAGUAAAAACGCAGAAGACUAGGGGUUUAUGUGAGCAGAGGUAAAAAGAAAUUAAACAAUAAGACAAAAUAUCCAGCCUCCCUUUCCCUUUAAAAAGUCAUGCGCAUAAAAUAAGCAUCAGAGACAUCAAAUAAAAUAGCAAAAAUAUGUUUACUCACAAUCUUGUAUGAUGAUGGUCAUACAGGCAAAAACAUCUUAGUUCCAAAGAAAAACAGUUCAGGAAACUACAUAUCUCUUAACAGACAGGAACAUCAGCAUGGCAUGGUCAGCAGCAAAGAGGAAGAGACAGGAAGAGGCAUCUGUACAUCACUUCCUGUGUGUCCCCAGAAAGGAUACACCCAUUUCCCAUUUCAUAUGCAAAACCCUUAAAUGGUGUCAUCAACUCUGGAAUGCAGCUUGGCUCAGGUUACUAAGCAACAGACAUAACUAACUACAUAAACCAUCCCACAUUGAAAAUGCAUGCAUGAUUGCUUAGAUAACUCAACAGGCCUGACCAGAUUCCUCCUCCCAAUCUUCCCCAAAGAAACAGGAGAGACAGUGAUGAUGAUCCAUCAUUGGCCAAUGGACCUUGUUGAGCAGAGGGGAGUAGCAAGGACACCAAACAGAAGGAUGCCUCUACAUUCACAGUCCAGGUGGUGAAGAUCUCUUGUGGUCUUGGAAAGACUAUAAGUCCUGAAUCUGUAACAGAAACAGUCAAUUACCUUUGCCUUUUUAGCACCUUCUGUAUGUUAAGAUUGUCCUCCUUCUACCAGGUACAUCAUUUGCAAACACAUCUUCAUGCUUAAUGGGAUUUGCUGAUCAGUCAUGUUCUUUCUAAAGUCAUAUUCCAAAAAAAAAAAAACAAGGCUGAAAAUAUGCAGUUUGUAAUCAUAAUAAAAAUGACUUAUAAUAAAGGUGGAAAUCCAGCUGGAAAAGCUUUGCUAGUAUGAGGGUUCCAAGGACUUUAUUUUAAUAAUUCAAUGCAGCUGAAAUGAUAGGGAAUAAAAUUGUAAUUUACAGUUCUUUUCUUAAAGGGUAUUUGACAUUCAUCAUUACCUUCCUUAUCUUGUAUUUUGUUUUUGUAGCUGCUGUUUAAUUGCAUUUAGAAUGAUGCUUAUCUCUGAUCUACAACAGAAUCAAGAGACAUGUAUCAAGAUGCUCACAAAUGGCUGUUUCUAGAUAGAAUUCCUCCUUUGACCAAAUCUUGCCCCCCAGAAAACUGUUAAUAGGUUCACCUAAUGGUUACCCAAAGUCAGAAAUGACUUGAAAGGUGCACCACAACAAUACAAAUGUUUGCGAGUUCCUGGUUCAGAUUUUUUAAUUCUAAGUACAUUCAUCUUUCCAGAUAUGCAGGCUCCAGAUUUGCAAAUGUAAUAUACAUAGCACAGUACACAACAUAAAUAGUGAACAAAUGAGAGAGAGGUGAGUCUGGCAAGAGAAACAAGUCUGGCAAAAAAAAAAAAAAAACUAGGCAUGAAUCCACAUUUUUCUCCAUUUCACAAAUCCUUGGUCUCUCUCCAACCUUACAACUUUCUCUAACCUUGUGUUUCAUUCAUUUGUCACUUUAUAUGAGACCUGAUCAUCUGCAGAUUUUUGGAUCCAUUGGGGAACCUGAAACCAAUCUCCUGCAGAUACAGAGGGCUGACUGUAGUGUCCUGAAAGUCUUAAGUGUACGCAUAGGCUGAAAUGCAUGUGGAUUUCCUACUAAUAAACACACAGCCCCUUUUUGAGCAACUUAAGAUGUGUUUCCUUUUUCUCUUGUGGCUCCACUGGAUGCUCCCCAGGUUUUGCUUCUUCAGCUGUUCAGUAAUUUGCUCUCCCAUUAUCUGAGCAUCACAGUUGAGUGGAGAUCUCUCUUCUAGGUAAACAGUGGGUUAAUGAGGUGUUGGGUUCCAAAAAUCCCAGGUGGGCAUGCAGCAAAGGGAGAACAAAGAGAGUCAAAGGGGCUAACUUAAAGAAAAGGUUGGCUUUGCUGAACCACAAAGACUAGACUCCCAAUAUCCUUCUCCCAUGAACAUCAGAUAUCGAUGAACAGCCACUUGUUAUCAUGAGUAGCAUAGAAAUAUUGAUCUAGUUUGCAUUGAGGAAUUGCAGUCAGCCCUCCAUAUCCACAGAUUCUGCAUCCAUGCAUUUAAUAAUCUAUGACUUGAAAAUAUUCCCCCCCC